rnacentral:lncRNA from 1 species
AGUUACAGUCAGCAUGAAGCAAUUGCAUGGGAACCGACUGGCUGUCUUGGGCCUACACGUUGCUGAAAAGACAGUGAAGACGUCUGAGCCGACAGGUAGAAAACAAGCAGAUGGCUACAGCGAUCAGUGAAGAAAUGGCUUCAUCUAUGAUGGCUCGCCAUAGGACAUUGGAAUGGAGCUACACAAAGGCAUCACCAGCCUCGCCUGUGCCCUGGAACAUUGGUUUGAAUAAGACUGUUCUUCAGUGUAGAACGACCACAAGACUUGUCACCACAUACAAGGCAUAGUGCAAGCUAUAAAUAUUGUACAGGUGGCUAGAAUAAAUGACCCUCCAUGCA